UUAAUAUAAUUAGAAAAUAUGAGUAAAGAAGCAAAACAAUUUGGUUGGUAAAGCAUGAAAACAAAGGACUGGAGAUGGAGAUAUUGCUAACAGACCUAAGAAACAGUAUUAUGUUAAAGCAAGUGCUAGGACUGCUAAGUGCAUGUAGAUAUCUGAAGGGGCUGAGGCCAGGAGCAUUGGACAACACGCCUAACGAUAGACGGCUAAAGUAGAGAAAAUUCAACCAUCCAACAUUUGUACUACAUUUGUGAACUACAUCAGAAAGAAAUGAGAGCGACAUGGCAAGAGGCACUACAUGAUAAAUAAAGUAAUACUCCAUUGUGUAGAUGUACCACAAUUUCUGCAUCCAUUCUUCAGUUGAGGGGCAUCUGGGCUGUUUCCAGCUUCUGGCUAUUACAAAUAAACCUGCUACAAACAUGGUUAAGGAUGGACAUCAGAAGAAGAAGAAAACAGGAAACAACCUAGGAACCUGCCACAGAGGGCCUCUGAAAGGCUCUGCCCUGCAGACUAUCAAGGCAGACACUGAGACUUACGGUCAACUGUUGGGCAGAGUGCAUGGACUCUUAUGUAAGAAGUGAGAAAUAGUAAGAUCUGGAAAGAACAGGAACCUCACAAGGAGAGCAACAGAACCAGAAAAUUUGAACACAGGGGUCUUCCCAGAGACUCAUACUCCAACCACGUACCAGGCAUGGAGAUAACCUAGAACCCCUGCACAGAUGUAGCCCAUGACAGUUUAGUUUCCAAGUGGGUUCCAUAGUAAUGGGAACAGGAACUGCCUCUGACAUAAUCUGAUUGGAUUUCUCUUUGAUCACCUUCCCCUGAGUGGGGAGUAGCCUUACCAGGCCACAGAAGAUGACAAUGCAGCUACACCUGAUGUGAUCUGAUAGACUAAGAUCAGAAAGAAGGAGAGGAGGACCCCCCCUAUCAGUGGACUUGGGGAGGGA